rnacentral:rRNA from 1 species
UACGAAGGGGGCGAGCGUUGUUCGGAUUUACUGGGCGUAAAGGGCGCGCAGGCGGCUCAUUUUGUCAGGCGUGAAAGCCCCGGGCUUAACCUGGGAACUGCGUUUGAUACGGAUGGGCUAGAGUUCGGGAGAGGAGAGUGGAAUUCCCAGUGUAGAGGUGAAAUUCGUAGAUAUUGGGAAGAACACCGGUGGCGAAGGCGGCUCUCUGGACCGAUACUGACGCUGAGGCGCGAAAAGCGUGGGGAGCAACAGG